rnacentral:snoRNA from 1 species
CAAGGCCUGUGAUGAUCGACCAAUAUAUGCCUACAUUGUUUGAUAUAUUCAUGUGAUAAGAGUCUUCUGUUAUCUGAGGCCUUC